rnacentral:lncRNA from 1 species
UGAGACAAACAAAAAAUAAAUUCAAAUUUUCUCGUAGCUGCUCCAGACAAUCUUGCCCAUCAUGGACAGGGUUCAACAGAAGAGGCAGAGGAGACUGCUCCAUUGCUCCACUACAAGAGAUAUACUGGCAAUCCUAGCCCCCUCAACAGGCAAACCAGAACCACCAACCCUACAGCAGGCCAUUCCCUUCAAAAGAAAUAUUUUUUUCACCUGUGUGACAAAAGACUCAUGUGACUGGAGAGAAAAAAAGGGUCAUCAUCCAGUUAUCCUCCAAUACGGGUGGAAGGCUGACUUCAACAACUCAACUCUCACAUUAUGUCUUAUACCUUAAUUUGGGUAGUGCAGCACUCUCUUGGUCUGGCCUCUUUCCUUUGACCUGUCCAGUAUGGGAAACCCUAUCAGUAGCAAAGCUACUGCCAACAUAGCUCUCAGGGUCAUUGGAACAUGCAA